rnacentral:rRNA from 1 species
AAUGGGCGAAAGCCUGACGGAGCGACGCCGCGUGGAGGAUGAAGUAUUUCGGUAUGUAAACUCCUGUCAUCAGGGACGAAAGAAAUGACGGUACCUGAGGAGGAAGCAUCGGCUAACUACGUGCCAGCAGCCGCGGUAAUACGUAGGAUGCAAGCGUUGUUCGGAAUUACUGGGCGUAAAGCGUACGUAGGCGGUGACAUAAGUUUAAUAUUAAAGACCGAAGCUCAACUUCGGGAAUGUAUUGAAUACUGUGUCGCUAGAGGUUAAUAGAGGAAAUCGGAAUUCCCAGUGUAGCGGUGAAAUGCGUAGAUAUUGGGAAGAACACCGGUGGCGAAAGCGGAUUUCUGGGUUAAUACUGACGCUGAGGUACGAAAGUGUGGGGAGCAAA